GACGAACGCUGGCGGCGUGCCUAAUACAUGCAAGUUGAGCGAUGAAGAUUGGUGCUUGCACCAAUUUGAAGAGCAGCAAACGGGUGAGUAACGCGUGGGGAAUCUGCCUUUGAGCGGGGGACAACAUUUGGAAACGAAUGCUAAUACCGCAUAACAACUUUAAACAUAAGUUUUAAGUUUGAAAGAUGCAAUUGCAUCACUCAAAGAUGAUCCCGCGUUGUAUUAGCUAGUUGGUGAGGUAAAGGCUCACCAAGGCGAUGAUACAUAGCCGACCUGAGAGGGUGAUCGGCCACAUUGGGACUGAGACACGGCCCAAACUCCUACGGGAGGCAGCAGUAGGGAAUCUUCGGCAAUGGACGAAAGUCUGACCGAGCAACGCCGCGUGAGUGAAGAAGGUUGUCGGAUCGUAAAACUCUGUUGGUAGAGAAGAACGUUGGUGAGAGUGGAAAGCUCAUCAAGUGACGGUAACUACCCAGAAAGGGACGGCUAACUACGUG
rnacentral:rRNA from 1 species